GACGAACGCUGGCGGCGUGCUUAACACAUGCAAGUCGAACGGAAAGGCCCUGCUUUUGUGGGGUGCUCGAGUGGCGAACGGGUGAGUAACACGUGAGUAACCUGCCCUCGACUUUGGGAUAACUUCAGGAAACUGGGGCUAAUACCGGAUAGGAGCUCCUGCUGCAUGGUGGGGGUUGGAAAGUUUCGGCGGUUGGGGAUGGACUCGCGGCUUAUCAGCUUGUUGGUGGGGUAGUGGCUUACCAAGGCUUUGACGGGUAGCCUGCCUGAGAGGGUGACCGGCCACAUUGGGACUGAGAUACGGCCCAGACUCCUACGGGAGGCAGCAGUGGGGAAUAUUGCACAAUGGGCGGAAGCCUGAUGCAGCAACGCCGCGUGCGGGAUGACGGCCUUCGGGUUGUAAACCGCUUUCGCCUGUGACGAAGCGUGAGUGACGGUAAUGGGUAAAGAAGCACCGGCUAACUACGUG
rnacentral:rRNA from 1 species